rnacentral:rRNA from 1 species
GAUGAACGCUGGCGGCGUGCUUAACACAUGCAAGUCGAACGGAGCUUAUACGAUUGAGGAUUCGUCCAAAUGACUAUAAGCUUAGUGGCGGACGGGUGAGUAACGCGUGAGCAAUCUGCCUUGGAGUGGGGAAUAACAGUCCGAAAGGACUGCUAAUACCGCAUGAUGCAUAAGGACCGCAUGAUUCUUAUGCCAAAGAUUUAUCGCUCUGAGAUGAGCUCGCGUCUGAUUAGCUAGUUGGCGGGGUAACGGCCCACCAAGGCGACGAUCAGUAGCCGGACUGAGAGGUGGGCCGGCCACAUUGGGACUGAGACACGGCCCAGACGCCUACGGGAGGCAGCAGUGGGGAAUAUUGGGCAAUGGGCGCAAGCCUGACCCAGCAACGCCGCGUGAAGGAAGAAGGCUUUCGGGUUGUAACUUCUUUUCUUAGGGACGAAGAAAGUGACGGUACCUAAGGAAUAAGCCACGGCUAACUAUGUGCCAACCGCCGCAGUAACAC